rnacentral:rRNA from 1 species
AUUGAACGCUGGCGGCAGGCUUAACACAUGCAAGUCGAGCGGGGUGAUGGUGCUUGCACUAUCACUUAGCGGCGGACGGGUGAGUAAUGCUUAGGAAUCUGCCUAUUAGUGGGGGACAACAUCUCGAAAGGGAUGCUAAUACCGCAUACGCCCUACGGGAGAAAGCAGGGGAUCACUUGUGACCUUGCGCUAAUAGAUGAGCCUAAGUCGGAUUAGCUAGUUGGUGGGGUAAAGGCCUACCAAGGCGACGAUCUGUAGCGGGUCUGAGAGGAUGAUCCGCCACACUGGGACUGAGACACGGCCCAGACUCCUACGGGAGGCAGCAGUGGGGAAUAUUGGACAAUGGGGGGAACCCUGAUCCAGCCAUGCCGCGUGUGCGAAGAAGGCCUUAUGGUUGUAAAGCACUUUAAGCGAGGAGGAGGCUCUUUUGGUUAAUACCCAAGAUGAGUGGACGUUACUCGCAGAAUAAGCACCGGCUAACUCUGUGCCAGCAGCCGCAGUAA